AAUUUUGGACAUUGGGGGCAACCCUGAUCCAGCCAUCCCGCGUGUGCGAUGAAGGACUUCUGGUUGUAAAGCACUUCUGGCAGGGAAGAGAAGACCCUGGCUAAUACGUGCAGCUGCUGACGGUACCUACAGAAUAAGCACCGGCUAACUACGUGCCAGCAGCCGCGGUAAUACUUAGGCUGCAAGCGUUAAUCGGAAUUGCUGGGCGUAAAGCGUGCGCAGGCGGUUCGGAAAGAAGGAUGUGAAAUCCCAGGGCUUAACCUUGGAACUGCAUUCUUAACUGCCGGGCUAGAGUAUGUCAGAGGGGGGUAGAAUUCCGCGUGUAGCAGUGAAAAGCGUAGAGAUGCGGAGGAAUACCGAUGGCGAAGGCAGCCCCCUGGGAUAAUACUGACGCUCAAGCACGAAAGCGUGGGGAGCAAAC
rnacentral:rRNA from 1 species